UUAAUUGAAGAGUUUGAUCAUGGCUCAGAUUGAACGCUGGCGGCAGGCCUAACACAUGCAAGUCGAGCGGCAGCACAGAGGAACUUGUUCCUUGGGUGGCGAGCGGCGGACGGGUGAGUAAUGCCUGGGAAAUUGCCCGGUAGAGGGGGGAUAACCAUUGGAAACGAUGGCUAAUACCGCAUAACCUCGCAAGAGCAAAGCAGGGGACCUUCGGGCCUUGCGCUACCGGAUAUGCCCA
rnacentral:rRNA from 1 species